GGCUUAGUGGCUUAGUGGUUAGCACGUUCGCCUCACGGGUCCGGGGUUCGAUUCCCACUGGGGCCG